rnacentral:lncRNA from 1 species
GGAUUCUAGUGCACGUUUACAGCAUGCCUGACAGAGUAGGUGCUCAAUAUAUAUAUAUAUAACUUGUAAGGCGAGUACAGCUAUCACAGUGCCUCUCCUUUUGAGGAAACUGAGUCUUAGAGAGAUUCAGAAGCACCAAGAUCACAGACCCAGUAAGAAGUAGAACCAGGCUCAGUGCUGUGGACUCAUAGACUCAAAGCCACAGACUUGCCAAGAGAAGCCUGGCGAGGCUAGGACAGUGGCCAUGGAUAGUAAAGACGGCUAAGCUAACACAGCCAUGGCUAACUUAGACCUCCUGACAAUUUACCCUCAGCACAGAACCUUCUGAGAAAAAAAGGUGAUAAUUCAGAAUAGAGAAUAGAGCAGCGUGCCCUGACUGCUCCACAAGAUGGUUAUUUAGCACAAGCAAGAUAACAUAUAUGGAAGCUCUAUAAAGCCCAUUUCAAAUGCAAGGGAACGCCAUGGGGUGACAAUGUAAUCUCGUGGCUGUGUGAAGCUCUGCACCAGUUGAUUACGGAGUUGGAGGAGCUCAGGUACUGAAAAUUGUGGGAGCACCACUGGUCACCUACAGGCCAAGGCAAUGUCAAGUUCAAAUAAUAGUGUACCCCUUGAUCAAACUUUAAUGAGAUGUAAAUGAG